AGUUCUGAUCUAGAAAACCAAUACAAUAAACUGUUUUAUGUUUUAAAAACAGGCAGUCUUUGGUGACGCAAAGGCAGAGAUUGUUUCUGUUACCUCCUGCCUAUUUCGCUCUGUCUCAUAAAGUGAAUAUUGUUGGCACUGUCAGAAAGUUCCAGAUACUGCUCAACAGACAACACAAAGUACCCAUCAUAACCUGGUACCCUCCCGGUGCUCAGCAGCUGCUGCUUUUCCCCCUCUGUCCACGCCCUGAUGCCCUCCUCCCCUUCUUGCAGCCGUCUCUGUUCCUUAGUCCAGGCCUGGGCCACAGCACGCUGUCUGGCGAUCUCCAACACGUGGUUCUUUUCUUCCUCCACAGUUGUCCCAUAGCGGAUGUUGAAGCACAGGGCCCCAUGCUGGAGUUGAAUAUCUGCAAACCGUCUAGUCCUCCCAUUCAACACAGAGGUCAUCUGGGACACGGUGACAUUGACCCCAUUCUCCAGAAUCCGCCUCCCCCCGGUAUUACCAAUAAGCACCAGGUCUUCCUCUAGAGACCCGAGCUUAAUAAAAUAAGACAUCAACAUAUCGGUACAGAUCUAUGGGCAAAGGGGUCUCGUUGAUCACAGCCUGCAUGCUGGUGACGCGGAAGUUGUUGUAGCUGUAGUCAAACCGGGCAUUCACAAGACCUUCUUCACUGAAUCUGAAAAUCUGGCGUCCAAUAAGAGGUCCUGUAGGAAUCAAAAGAUGUUAAAAGGUGAGAGAAGAACUAGGUGAUCAAAUGUGAAGCAAUCUAACAGUCUGGUGAUGGAUGGCUCAGCACUGGGGCAUUCACAUUCAAAACUGAAUAGUAGAGAUUGACUUCCGUCAUCUACUUCCUGAACAUAUCACCUGUACAAAGGGGAUUCAGAAACGCAGAAAAAAGGCAAUGGAAAGAAGUUUCUUAAUCUCAAACAUUUUUCAAUUCCAUGUACAUGGGUGUGGGGUGUCUUCAAAAAGUUAAUGGAAAAUAUGUAUCCUGAAACAACUAUGGGUUUGAAAAAUUUUGGCACCCAAAUCCACUUACCUUUCAGUCCACUUCCUAAAAACUUUUUCAAGUGUCCUUGUAUACUCCUGUAGGUGGUAUUCGUCAAAUACGUUAAAAAAAAUCUGGCAUAAUAUUACUAGAGCAUAAUCUAAUUGUGGAAACUACAGAAGUACUAACCCAUCCAGGAACCUGGGGUGAGGAAACUGAUAUGAACAGGCUUUCCUGCUAAAGGUACAGACAAAAUGCUUUCAUUUCAUUUCAUCUCUGCUACAAAAUCAAAGGGUGAAAUUUUGACAAAGCCCAGCACUAAACCAAAUGGAUCUGGGCAGUUUUUACACACUCCACAGAUGAAUAUAUAUUCAAAAGUCUUGACUUUUCAUAAUAUUUUGUUAUCCACCAAGGCUUACAUAGGGCUUGAACUCAUUUCAGUGACAAGCAUAUCCUGCAGCUGCAUCUUUGGGAGGCUUUACUGGGGACAAGCAACAGGUGUAUGGCUAGACUAGAUAUGUAGAUAUCAACUUUCUUGACAUCUGCACAAAAAAUAUGCACUGUAUUUUUU